GGGAAAUAAUUUGAUCUUGCAGCUGUUCUGUCAUGUUUUAUGACAGGUUAUGCUUUUAGCAAGAGAAAGAAAUCAUGCUGACAUUUGACAAGCGAAGAGAUAGCUUUUCUGUGGCUGUCAUGUUAAGAUUUAUAAUGCUAUAGCUACCUUGUAACCUGGGCAAGAUUUAGCAGGACUCUUCUAUUCUAACUAGAUUUUUUUAUAUUACUUUAAAAUAUUUAUACAUGGGGUCAAUUUUUCAAACUGAAAGUUAAUGGGGCUAUGCUCCUAAAUUACAUUUGCAAAUGGAAGUUAGGCUCCUAUGAUAUUUAGCUGCAUUUGAAAAAUGUUACCUGUGGAUUUUACUCUCUCAUCUUCUCUGGAAUAAAAGACUAUCAUCUGGCUACUCUUUUGAUAGAUAUGUGAAUUUAGUGCUUGGGAAAGAUAUUGGCAAGACAACCCUGAAGAGCAAAGUCCCUUCUUAUCCACAGAACAGAUACAGCAUGGGCAGAGGAGAGCAAAGACAAAGUAGCACCUAGAGACCCCACCUCAUUGUGCUAGGCAGCGUACAAAAACAGAGACAGCCACUGCCCUCCAGAGCUUCCAGUCCGAAGGUCACUCAGCAGGUCAAUGGCAGAGCCUGGAACAUAACCCUGAUUUCUUGAGUUCCAGUUAAGGGGCCAUCCACUGGACAAUACUGCCUCUCUCCCAUUUUCAGGUUGACAGUUCCUCAUCUUUCUUCCUGCAUGUCUCCACAAAGAUUUCCCACCCUCCUUCUCUAAGCAGCCCCCACAAACUCUACCCCAGCAAUUCUCCUCUGUCCCCUCAGCUUCCCAGGAUUGU